rnacentral:lncRNA from 10 species
UGCAGUUUGAUCUCUGACUGCUGUGCUAGCAAUCAGUGAGACUCCCUGGGCAUAGGACCCUCCGAGCCAGGUGGGGGUUAUAAUCUCGUGGUGCGCCGUUUUUUAAGCCCGUCGGAAAAGCGCAGUAUUCCGGUUGGAGUGACCCGAUUUCCAGGUGCUGUCCGUCACCCCUUUCUUUGACUGGGAAAGGGAACUCCCUGACCCCUUGCCCUUCCCAAGUGAGGCAGUGCCUCGCCCUGCUUCGGCUCGCGCACGGUGCACGCACUCACUGACCUGCGCCCACUGUCUGGCACUCCCUAGUGAGAUGAACCCGGUACCUCAGAUGGAAAUGCAGAAAUCACCCGUCUUCUGCGUCGCUCAAGCUGGGAGCUGUAGACCGGAGCUGUUCCUACUCGGCCAUCUUGGCUCCUCCCCGCCAAGCCUGUCAGUCAGAAUUCCAUUGCAUGCCUGUUCUUGAACAACCAUGGUCAAGGAGACAAGAUUCCUGAUGACUGACUCACACUAAUCAAAACUCAGCCACUGGUCCUAGCAAACUUCAUGAGAUGAGAGUGGAGAGUGUCCCAUCUCAUCUUAAGCAUAUGACUGUCCCAUACCCAUACAAAAUCAGGUUCUUUGCACAAAGAACAAUAGAGGUGAAUGACCAAUGAGUAAUCAAAGAGAGAGUUUUUCAGAAUAUGACUGCAUUUGGAAAUAGGGACUUUAAAGAGGUGAUUAAGUUACAAUGAGGCCACUAGAGAAGACAAUUAUCCAUUUGGACUGAUGUGCUUAGAAGAAGAGCAUAUUGGUAAAAAGAGACACCAGAGGUACAACAGCACAGAGAAAGACCAUGUGAGGACAUAGUGAGAAGAUGGCCAUCCCAUCUGCAAGCCAAGGACAGAGGCCUCAGGAGAAACCAACCCUGAUGACACCUUGAUCUUGGACUUCACAGCCUCCAGAACUAACAUACUCAAGUGUCUCAGCUCAACAUUUGGAGAUGAGCCAUCCUCCUCUUAUUGUAAGAAAAGCUUGAAGGAGUAUUUUCACAGCGAUGGAACUGGAAGUUAAGGCAACUUCUAUCAGCAUCAAGAAAAGAAAAGAAGUAUUCACCACUUACGAAACAACAUCUCUCUUCUCAUCAAUAGUUUGAUUUACAGCAUCUACUGCAGAAGACCUCAAUAAUGCAUAAGAACAUCUGGAAGUACGGUAAUUUCAGCUAUCAGAGAUAAGAAUUGACACAGAACAGCAUCUGGAAAUCUGCAGAUUUGGAUGCACAAACAAUUAGACAUAAGACACAGCAUAAUGAAGUAUUUGUUUUCAUAGAGGAUCAUAGAAAUUCAUAAACAGAGGAUGAAGAAACACAGAAGACAGAGGAAGGAUUUAGUUUUGGGAACAUGUGCUAAUGGCCAUCAAACAAUUCUGAAAUAACUGAAAGAGAACCUUUGAAACACCCUUUAGAUUAAGAGCCUGGCUUGUAAUCUGUAACAACAAACGGUAUUACAAUGAGAAAAAUAAAUGUCCUGUCAAGGCAUUCCUUCAAUGACAUCUUGUCACACAAGUCUAUAUCCAAGGCUGCCCACAAAGUGGAAAAAUGGGGAAAAUAGAGAAUUCAGCUCACUAUGAUUUCUGCAAUAUACAAUUAUGGGAAAUCAUGUUUGGAUUGACACUGCAGACAGAAAUGGCAUGCAUGAUUCCUGUUUGGACAGGAAUAGCUGUUGGGGAGGAAGCCAACCUUGAAUGACACUGAAGAGCAACAUAAUGAAGCAUGAAUUGACAGGCAUCCUUCACGUUGCUUCUGGCUUCCCGUGUAAAAAGCCAUAUCUGAGCGCAGCUCUUAUGGGGCCAGAUCCAGGGGAGGAGAAAGGAAGUGAGGCCCAGAAAAAAUACAUUGUCAUGGAGGAGUGAAACUGAAGACAAAACAAAAAGGACUUUCCACAACUAGGCCCCUGGCUUACACUGCAAUGGAAGAAGAGGAGCAGAAAUACUGCCAAAGAUCCUUAUGAUGGCAUUGCAUUUUAGACUGCUUUUCAACUGAUUAUGACAGUAUCAACAAAAGAAACUUUCAUUUGAGGGACAUGGAUGGAGCUGGAGGCCAUUAUCCUUAGCAAGGUAACACAAGAACAGAAAACGAAAUACUGCAUGUUCUCACUUAUAAAUGGGAACUAAAUGAUGAGAAUAUAUGGACACAUAGAGGGGAACAACACACACUGAAGCCUUUUAGAGGGUGAAUGGUGGGAAGAGGGAGAGGAUCAGAAAAAAUAACCAAUGGGUACUAGGCUUAAAACUGGGUGAUGGAGGCAGGGCGUGGUGGCUCACGCCUGUAAUCCCAACACUUUGGGAGGCUGAGGCGGGCAGAUCACCAGGUCAGGAGAUGGAGAUCAUCCUGGUGAACACGGUGAAACCCCAUCUCUACUAAAAAUACAAAAAAAUUAGCUGGGCGUGGCGGCCGGCGCCUGUAAUCCCAGCUACUCGGAAGGCUGAGGCAGGAGAAUGGCGAGAACCCGGGAGGCGGAGCUUGCAGUGAGCUGAGAUCGCGCCACUGCACUCCAGACUGGGCGAUAGAGCAAGACUCCCUAUCAAAAACAAAACAAAACAAAACAAAACAAAACAAAACAAAACUGGAUGAUGAAAUAAUCUGCACAGCAAACUCCCACAACACACGUUUACCUAUAUAACAACUUGCAGUUGUACCCCUGAACUUAAAAGAAUAAUCGGCCAGGCGCAGUGGGUCACGCCUGUAAUCCCAGCACUUUGGGAGGCUGAUGUGGGUGGAUCACCUGAAGUAAGGAGUUCGAGACCAGCCUGGCCAACAUGACGAAACCCCGUCUCUACUAAAAAUAACAAAAAUUAUCUGGGCAUGUUGGCACACGUGCCUGUAAUCCCAGCUACUGGGGGACUGAGGCAGGAGGAUCACUUGAACCUGGGAGGAGGAGGUUGCAGCGAGCCGAGAUCGCACCACUGCACUCCAGCCGGUGCAACAGAGUGAGACUUCAUCUCAAAUAAAUAAAUAAAUAAAAGAUUAAUAAACAAAAACAAAAAAACACAAAAAAUUCUAUACCUCAAUUUAUAAAAUUCUAUAACUGUCUAUUAACUACUAAUAAAAAUGUGUGAUAAAGGC